AUCCUCCAAGGCUAAAUACUCCUGACUGACCGAUAGUGAACCAGUACCGUGAGGGAAAGGCGAAAAGAACCCCGGCGAGGGGAGUGAAAAAGAACCUGAAACCGUGUACGUACAAGCAGUGGGAGCAUGCUUCGGCGUGUGACUGCGUACCUUUUGUAUAAUGGGUCAGCGACUUAUAUUCUGUAGCAAGGUUAACCGAAUAGGGGAGCCGAAGGGAAACCGAGUCUUAACUGGGCGUUAAGUUGCAGGGUAUAG
rnacentral:rRNA from 1 species